GCUGGAAUUCCCAAGGAAAAUCAAGUCCUCCCAAGAUUCCUUCCACAACAUCUAGUUCCUUAACAGCAGUGGCGCAACAUGUUUUGAUGACCAGGGAAGAAAAUUCAGGAAAUGAAUAGGACAGAAAGAAGGAAACUGAAGCAAUUAACAAUUAUUUAGCAGCUUGCAGUGAACGUGUACACAGUAUGGAAGUGCGUGUGUAUUCUUUUCUACCAGCCAAAGUAGAAACAAUCAUGGACAUCUUCUCAACAAGCAACUGCAGGAAACGAAGGCAGCAAGAUUGUUGAUUAGCAAAAAACAACAACAAUGGGGCUCUGGGUUAGGAGGGGGAAGGCAGAAAUCCAAUAGGAAGAAUCAUUUCAUUUACACCAGUGUUUUAAAAACUUAUUAUGCCUCAUUAAAAUGACAGCAUUUUCAUCCUGAAA